UGAAGCCCAAGGUCCCACGUAUACCCCUAAAGUAUCUUUGUACACAACCACCUAUUCCUUUCCCGAGAGAAAAAACAACGUGAAUCAAUCUCACGCAAUGGGAUCUCGAUCUACUGCCUCUCUUCCUGUGGAAUACGAAUCUCUCUCAAAUUGGAUCAAGCAAGUUGGGGCAAGGAUCUGGUGUACUCACGGGGCUAAAUUAUUUUCCUCGGUAGUUCGGGUUCGUCUUCAAUCAUCGACGUUUUCUGAAGUUGUUAUUUUUUGCUGGUUGGUAAUUUAAUCGAUUGUAUGUUUUCCGUUGUCUUCGAGCUGAAUACAAGGAUGAAGAUGUGUUUCUCUAGACUCCAAUUCCCCAAUCCCUCGACUCUAGACAGGAAACAGGUCCCAGGGAUUGUUUCUCCCCAAUCCCUCGACUCUCUCUGUGGUAGACAGGAAAUAUGGUCAGGGAUUGCAUGGCGGCCGCAACAAUGACAUGGCUGCUGUUAACUGCUCCCGCUGGCGAGGAGAAUGAGAGGCCGUGGCACCCAGCCGCGAGCAAGACGGAGGAUCGCUGCAACUCCACCCAGUAGUAGUCGCUCCCACAGUCCCACCCACGAAGAAGAAGAGGGGUUGCUUUGGCUGCUCCCGGUCGUCCCUUGCACCUUCAGCUUGAUAGGAUAAAACCGUCUGAUUCUUGAGGUGUUUCCUUGGUAUGACACAUAGACAUAUAUUUAUUUGGUUUGACUUGGAUAAGAGGAGACUACGUCAAUGAUUGCUUAUUCCGUCAUAUAUAUGCAAUUUCGUUCAAAUUUCUAGGCACAGGUGAGUUUGAUAUGGAGACAAUGGAUUGGUUACUCUCUCUUAUAAGACAUGCAGAUUUCACAUAUUUAUGAUUAUUUGAACCUUGCUAUCGUCCAUCUCAUGCAUAAAGCAUAUGAUUACAUGAAAAGUGUUGUAGCUAAUAACACAUAAUUAUCUUCUGAUCAACCACCAGACUAGACGAUGGGUUCCGCACCAUAGACAAUCAGCGGCGCCCCCCCCCCCCCCCCCCUACAUCUCUAAAUGAUUUUUUUAUAUUUUUGCUUCUGAUUAACUUAUGUGCAUCGAGGUGCAUCAGGUAUCAUGAAUGGAAAUAUUAUACCAAUCUAUGCGUCUCACAAUCGUUUCCUAAUUAAGCAUUACCAAGCGUGCAGUGGAGACAUAUUAAUAUAUAAGGUAAUACAAGAAACAGGACUUUGCUAUUUGAUCACUUAAUAGUGGCAGUAUUUCAGGCUCAGACUGCGUGCAUGUCUGCAUACUGCAUGCAUGUGCGGUUUAAUUUUUCAGUGCAUGCGUACUCAUAUAUAUCACAAGAAGAUGUGGUCGACUUGGAGAACGUCUUAACAUUUGACGGAGUAGGGAUAGACAACCUUUUUUAAAGACGCGGUAGCAACACCAGCACCAUUUAUUCUGGCGAUGACAUGUCCAUGUACAUUGAUAUGGUUGACACUCACCUCAGGCUUCAUGGCCAUUUACAGAAUAUCUAUAUGGAUGGAGUAUUUGUUUGUUAUUUUCUAAAAAAGAGAAGCGCAACCAACGCCUUAAGACUACUGGGACAAGGCUCCGAAGCGGCCGAAACAGCAAAGGCAGCGGAGGUGGCCGGUAGGCCAGCUGCUCGGAGGCGAGACGCAAGGCCGGCGGCUCAGCGGGCCGCAGCCGGGACAGAGGCGACCGGCGGAGGCGCGCCGGCGAGGUGCGGGCGCGACGGCGAUGAUGCAAAGUCCUCUCGAGUCCGCUUGUGCAGAAACGGAGCAGCAAAGUGCGGCCGGGUGGCUCGCCGACGGCUCAAAAGUAAGGCGGCUCAGGCCAGGGAGCAUUGGCGGCUCUAGCCAGCGGCAGCUUUCAGCGAGGCGGCUUGGAGACUGCCAGCGACGUCUCGUGUUGCGGAGGCAACCCAGCAGAGUUGAGGUCGGCGGGUCACGGCCUCGGCGGUUCAGUGGAAGCCCACAGCAAAGCAGAGCAUGGCUAGUCGGCCGCAGUAGAAAAGGCGACUUGGGAAAGCCCGCUGCGAUGCAGAGGCGAGGCUAAAUUUCGUGUUUUGACUCUUUUCUGAAACCUAUUCAAGAUUUG